GCGCCUAUCGAUGAAUGGCUUUUUGGCGCCUCGUUCGUCGAUGAAGUCAAGAAUCCGCAGGCUUGUGAGAAGGUCGCUAGAGGCCUUAUUAAAUCUACCCCAGCAGUCGCCAAGAUCACCUCCUAGCAUCCAAUUAAAUCUACUACGAUUGUGAGAGAUAGCUUUCCAGAAUAUUGUACCAUUACGAAUUUCUUUAAUAACUGUUACCAUUUGGAUUGGAAUAGAAAGUGUUGAAUAAGUAUAAA